CAGCCGCCGCGGGAAUACGGAGGGUGCAAGCGUUAAUCGGAAUUACUGGGCGUAAAGCGCACGCAGGCGGUCUGACAAGUCAGAUGUGAAAUCCCCGGGCUUAACCUGGGAACUGCAUUUGAAACUGUCAGGCUGGAGUCUUGUAGAGGGGGGUGGAAUUCCAGGUGUAGCGGUGAAAUGCGUAGAGAUCUGGAGGAAUACCGGUGGCGAAGGCGGCCCCCUGGACAAAGACUGACGCUCAGGUGCGAAAGCGUGGGGAGCAAACAGGAUUAGAGACCCCAGUAGUCCCUGUCUCUUAUAC
rnacentral:rRNA from 1 species